rnacentral:tRNA from 1 species
AAGGAAGGACAGACAUCAGUAAGUACUGCUAAUCCUUAUGUACCGAGGUUAAAGUCCUCGGCUUCCUUAC